rnacentral:rRNA from 1 species
UACGUAGGGUGCGAGCGUUAAUCGGAAUUACUGGGCGUAAAGCGUGCGCAGGCGGUUUUGUAAGCCAGAUGUGAAAUCCCCGGGCUUAACCUGGGAAUGGCAUUUGGGACUGCAAGGCUGGAGUGCGGCAGAGGAGACUGGAAUUCCUGGUGUAGCAGUGAAAUGCGUAGAUAUCAGGAGGAACACCGAUGGCGAAGGCAGGUCUCUGGGCUGACACUGACGCUCAUGCACGAAAGGCGUGGG